CGACUCUGGAGCCAGCCCUGAUGGCCUAAUGGUUAAAGUUCAGUGCUCUCACCACUUCAGUGGCCAGGGUUUGUCUCCUGGUUGCAGAACCACACCACCCAUCUGUCAGUAGCCAUGCUGUGGCAGUGGGUAACACAGAAGAACCAGAAGGACUUAUAACUAGUAUAUACAACCAUGUAUCAGGGCUUUGGAGAGGAGGAAAAAUAAAAAAGAGGAAAAUUGGCAACAGAUGUUAGCUCAGGGUGAAUCUUUCCCUGCAAAAAAAGAAAGAAAGCUGACUCUGGAGAGUUCUGGUCUAGGCUCUGUCUCUGGCUGUGUGAUCCCAGACAGGUAAUGUAACCUGUCUGGACCUCAGGUUCCUUAUCUGCAAAGUGUAUGGCCUGGCCCACAUUUCCAACAUCUUUCCAGCUGUAAAAGUUUAUGAUUCUAAAUGAAAUUCCUAAAGCGUUUAUAAGAGAGAGUCUCCAUUACAGGUCCCACUCCUGAGCAGCAUUUGCUGUGUGACCAGUGCUCACCUGUUCCUCCAACCCUCUUCCUUGAGCCCUAAGCUUCCUGUAAGACUGAAAGUUCCCCUCUCCUUGACGACGGUGCCCUCCUCUUCCCGCUGCCUACUUCCUGCUCCCAAGGAGCCCAAUUCCUGCUUCUUGAAAAUGAGUUCAUCUGGCCAAACAAAUUCCAAGGCAGACGCAUCUCCCUGCUGAUUAGGCACCGGCUUCCUCCUCCGUGAAAGAAUGGAGCAGGAAUGCACCGUCGCCGAGAUCUCUCCCAGUUCUGACACGGAGCCAGACUUUGUUGUGAAAAAGAGCAAAGCAUUUUCUUCUAACUCCCAAAGCUGGGCUUCUAUGUACAGGGGCCAAGUCUGGUGGCAUCGGAUGGUUAAGUUUGCCUGUCGAAGUCAUGGGAUAUGGAAGGAGGAUUAUACCUGUCAGGUAAGGAGAAAAGGAAAGGCUCAUAUUGUUGGCUGAGUUGGAGAGGGGCAGCCCCUGAGCAAAGAAGGUGGCCAGGAGGUCAGACUGGUGUUGUCCCUCCUCUUUUCGUGUCCCUGGAGGACCAGAACUUCACAGAGGACUCUAGGGUAGGCUUAAGGUGCUUCCAGGUAGGAAGCUCUGUUCUCACUUCUCCUGGGCUCAUCUUGAGAAUAACCCCUACCUCUCAGAGAAGCCCUGGGGCUGAUGGGGUGUAGCCUGCAGCAUGGAGCCUGAAUGGAAAUUUAGACAUUCUUGAAGGAGGAGCCUGAGACUGGGUCAAAGUUUACCACAUCCCUGGCAUGGCAUUCAGGGGACAGAGAAAUGCCCAGGUGCCCCAGUGGGGAGCGAAGAAGAUAGUUGAUGGUGCUGGAUCUCAAACUGUACUGGGGGAGAGGUGGAUACCCACAGCAGGGAGGCCCUGUGGAAUAGCCUCCAGAACAGACCCCUCCAGGUGGAUUCUCUGUGGGAGCCACGGGCAGGCCUUGGAAUCAGGAGAGGUGAGGGAUGAGGGAACCAUCAAGCUGUGAUGAGCACCUGGUCACAGGGAGAUACACCAGCCUCAGCCACUCAGUGACAGACUCAGUGAUGUCCAAGAGAAUAUCCAAGCACCAGGAGGAUACAUGGGUUUCCCCUGCAACCAAUCAAGAUGACUCCUUUGCAAAAGGAGGUCGGGAAAGUCCUGGAGAGGAGGGAAAGUAAUUCUCCCAGAGAGGCCAUUAUUAUUAUCAGAAGAGACUGAUGUAGCUUGAAUUACGAGAUCAAAUGUUUUCCACCAUCAGCAGAAAUGGGGCCUCAUAAGCAAGUACGGCGGUUCUCCAUUGAAGCCCUCACAACAUCACAACUCUUGGUCUCAUCUCCGUGAUGCCCCGAGCUUCCACUUUUUUGCCCCAACCUCCCACAGCUCUCGAUGGGCAGAUCUUCCCAGUGGGAACUGGAGGGCGAAAAGGACUGUAAAGGGAUCUUACUUGGGAAGGUACUGCAGUGGUCCAGGUGAGCUAUGUCACUGCCCUCAUUCAUGACCUCAUCCAAGGCCAUGGCCAAAGAGUAACCAAACAGCAAUGUGUUUGAGUCUUCACAACGGCCACCGAGUCCUUUGUACCAACCUCCUAUGCCAGGCCCCAAGCUCUGCUGUUCCCUUGCUGGGUAACCUGGGCAAGCCCGCUCACACUCUUGGCCUCGGCCUCCUCAUUUUUAAAAUAUGAUGGAGGUGAUAGUGGUGGGGGAUGGGUGGAGAGUUUGGUUUCUUUUUAUUUGUUUGUUUUGUUUGCUUUGUUUUUUGAUAUGGGAGUGAAGAAAUGGGGGAGAGGACAGGACCAGGUUAGAUUCUCUCAAAUGAUUAUCCAGCCAUCAGAUUCUAAGGCUUUACAUUGUAGUGUUUUCUCACAGGAAUGCUGCAGCUCCCAG
rnacentral:lncRNA from 1 species